GGGCGGUGGCUCAGUGGUAAAGUGCUAUUCUAGCACAGGUGAGGCACUGGGUUCUAUCCUCAGAACUGCACA
rnacentral:tRNA from 1 species